CCCUUAGAUGCUCUGGGCCGCACGCGCGCUCCACUGGUCGAUGCAACGAGUUUCUUUCCUUGGCCGACAGGCCUGGGCAAUCUUUGAACAUCGAUCGUGAUCGGGAUAGAUUCUUGUAAUUUUUGAUCUUAAACGAGGAAUUCCUAGUAAACGCAAGUCAUCAGCUUGCAUUGAUUACGUCCCUGCCCUUUGUACACACCGCCCGUCGCACCUACCGAUUGAAUGGUCCGGUGAAAUCUCCGGACUGGCGUGAGUCGGAGCAAUCUGACAAACACCGGAAAGUUGAUUAAACCUUACCAUUUAGAGGAAGGUGAAGUCGUAACA
rnacentral:rRNA from 1 species